rnacentral:lncRNA from 1 species
GUCGCCAUCUUGGACUCGGUUCGACCAGGUCUGGUGACCGGCGACGAGGGGCCGGGCUCGGCGCCGGGGGUCGGGAACUACUAUCAAUGCCUUUUACAAAAUGAGGUCAUUGGAUUGCAGAGUUGGCUUUCGAGAAGAUUUUGUGGCCUUUCUCAGCUGUCUAGGUGCUGUAGGUGCUGUGUUUCUAUGGCUGCAAGGAUGAAGGUAACAUGGAUGAGGGAGGCUGAUGAGGCAUGUUUUGGUUGUUAUAUAAAGCAAGGCUCACAAAUGCAGCAAUAAGGACAUUGAUUUUUUUCCCUUGGCUACUUUGCAGUGGAGAUAAAUUGCCACCAGGUGAAUGGUGGUACCUUGAUUAUUUGGCCCAUAGUCUAAAUAGCUUUAAUGGGAGACCUGUUUAGAGCAUCAAUUUUCUGUUUUAAAUAUAUCAUUUCAUUAUUGGCACAGAAUUAUGACCACAUUAAUGGAGAUAGAAAUAAAGAAGAAAAACUAAAAAUCAUGUCUUUAUUUUCCCUUGCUUCAUGCCCAUUUAUAACUAUAAUUUUUGUGUUGUUGUAAUCAUAUUUUUUGAUACAUAAUUUUCUUUUCUAAUUUUUAAAUAAUAUAUCAAAAGCAUGUUUCCAUGCCACUACCGUGUAUUAUUUAUAAUGAUCAUUUUAACAGAAUAUCAUGUAUUUUUAUGUGUCAGCAGAUGUUCUUUUUAAAAAACUGUGUAUUAAAUGUUGAAUAUAUGUACAAAAAUUUAUAAAAGUUAUACGAAAUCAUCAUAAAUUAACACCCAUAUGCCUAUCAUUCAAUUUAAGAUAAAGAACAUUGCUAUUA